rnacentral:rRNA from 1 species
UAUUGGACAAUGGGGGCAACCCUGAUCCAGCCAUGCCGCGUGUGUGAAGAAGGCCUUUUGGUUGUAAAGCACUUUAAGCAGUGAAGAAGACUCUAUUGUUAAUAUCCAUAGACGAUGACAUUAGCUGCAGAAUAAGCACCGGCUAACUCUGUGCCAGCAGCCGCGGUAAUACAGAGGGUGCAAGCGUUAAUCGGAAUUACUGGGCGUAAAGCGAGCGUAGGUGGCUUAAUAAGUCAGAUGUGAAAUCCCCGGGCUUAACCUGGGAACUGCAUCUGAUACUGUUGGGCUAGAGUAAGUGAGAAGGAGGUAGAAGUUCAGGUGUAGCGGUGAAGUGCGUAGAGAACUGAAGGAAUACCGAUGGCGAAGGCAGCCUCCUGGCAUCAUACUGACACUGAGGUUCGAAAGCGUGGGUAGCAAACAG